UAAUUGAUUAAGAAAAAAGGUUAUUAUAAGUUAUUACACAUUAUCAAUUGCCUUUCUCCAUGUAAAUUAUUGUUGUAGUCUGUUUACAAAAUAUUGAAUGGUUCAUGAAUGUUGCUGAGUAGACAUAACCCUGUAUUAGCUUGGCCUCAAAUUAAAUACAUGAUUAAAUCAUGGAAAUAGGCUUAACCGCACUUCUAGGAUGUUCAGCUAACUGGUCCUUUUAUAUGAAUAGCCCACAGGUAAUGGACACCUUUUGAUGUACAGUAUAAAGAAUGGAAUUUCAUGGUCGAAGAAUGUAUCAAAGCAGUAGCUAAAGGGUCUCUGGAAGGCAUAGGCCUAGUCAAUGUGUUGAAAUAUAGGCUAAGCAUAAUGUCUGGAGGUAUUUACAGUGGGUAUUCCUUUUUUAUUCAUUAUAAAGACAAUAUGUAAGGGACAGGGAUAUGUUAAGAAAUAAAAGUAUUACUGAUAAUUUUGUGAAAGGAUUCUCAGUUUAUUCUGUUCUAUUCUAUUCUACAGGUGACAUUGCCAACCUCAGAUAAUGUGUUCUCCUUUGAGGUAGGUAUUGACAUUACAUCGACAUCUAUUUUUAGUCUAGAUUACCUUGACCAUAAAACAACAAAACAUUCACACUGUCAUGUAAUUAUUCUGCCAGUAUCAUUCAUAUUCCAUAUAUUAUGAAAUCCAAUAAGACAUCUGUCUCUGUUUCAAUUUACAUACGCAUUGCAUGCCACAACAUGUGGCAUGAAUUCCCUCUCCCGAAUGCCAAAUAUGUCAUUACAAUUCCUAUUCAAAUCCAAUCAAACCAUGAUUACUACAAAAGCCACCGUAUUGCCGUGCUCCUAUAUGCAGGUUUGAGGCUUAGCUCCCUUUAAGCAAAUAUUUAUCCCUCCAGCCAGGAUGACUGUAUUGCAGUUUGUGAUUAUAUAUGGGUUUGUGAGAGGAGUGUGUCAACCGUGCAUGCUCCACAAUGUGCCUGGAGAGAUUGAUGUUUUGUCAUCCACCUGCUUCAAAGCUGUAAAACCCGGCAGGCAGCAGCAAACGGAGAGACCUACCCAGCCCGGAAAAAAACAAACAAAGAGAGACCUUACUGGUGCUGUUUACACAUCUGUGUGGAGGACUAUCUGGGCUUGUGUGUUUUGACAUCGCGCUCAAAUGGCUGCACGGCUCCUGUCUCAGUGAAACGGAAGAUGUAGAGGAGCUGGAUGCUGGAGAGUGAGUGAAGGAGUGAAGCUGAGCCCUGGACGGAGYGAUCUGCUGGAGGAAAGGAGAGAGAGUGUAGGCUGAACUGGGCCACAGCAUCCGAGCUGGGAGGACUGGGAGAAGAGACGAGAGAGGGCGGCUCCGCUGACUGGAGGAGUACCAGCUGGUCUCAAACAGGUAGGGAGCCGUGCCAAGUCCCUGUGCCAGCGUCCGUCGUGCCCGCUGACGUUCGUCGUCUGUUGGCUUCCAUCAGGGCCUCUCUCUCUCUCUGAUCUGAAAUGAAGAUGAUUUGAUUAGACCUCUGGUAAAGGCUGGGCAGGCCCUAUACAAAGUCAUUACCUUGAUGAAA